AUUUGGCGAGGCAGAGCGGCGUCGACUCGGCGGGGCUCGCCUCGACCUCCAUCAACAGGGCGGUCGGAGGGAAGAUGGAGACUGAGAGAGGGAGAGACAGAGAGAGAGAGAGAGACUUACUCCCGAUAUCUUCAAUAAGGAUAAUAUUUUAUUCUCAUCUGAAAAGAGUAGAAAAUGAACAGUAGAAUUAAAUGACUUUAACAGUAGAUUAAAUCAUUUCCCAGGCCAAAAUAAAAAACAUCCACCAAGAUCCAGUUUUCUCAGUUAUGAGGAUUUGCUAAAAUUAAUAAUUUCAUGUUUUUUGAUUGACAAAACAAGAAAUCCGUUUAGGGUUUUGGAAAAUGUAACAGGCCUUUUAUUUUUAUUUUGAAGAUAUCUACAGCCCCUUGAUUCAAAAGAUGAGCCUUCAUUUUUGUCUCCACACUUUUCAUUGGCUGAUACGUCUACAGGCUGAAAGAGAAAAUUAAUCUCACGGCAUACAGACGGAGAUGAAAACCGAGGGAGGAAAAUCAAAAAAGAGAAGAACGAGAGAAAGACAAAGAUAUUUAUUAAUUGUUUUUUGAACAACACAAUUUUCCCAACGAGCUGCGGCGCUUCAUAUUUACACAAUCUCUCUAUGAGCAAACACGCAGAGUUGAAUGUGUUUGUACGUGUGGGUGUGCACACGCUCGGCCUAUUGUUUUGAAUAACUAAUUUUGCACACACACGCACCCACAAGCACACACACACACAAAACCAUUACAGACUUGUUCAGCCAGACAGUCUUGCAGCACCAGCUUUGUACCUUCCUCAAACAAUCCACCUCCGCAGAGGUUAGUGUGUGCGUGUGUGUGUGUGUGUGUGUGUGUGUGUAUGUAUAUGAGCACACUAUAACAACACACUAAUGAAAGAGGUAGAUUGUGAGAAAGAGAGUCAGAUCUAUAGUGAUAGAAACCACUGGGCCUCCAACGUUCAGGUGUGUGUGCAUUUCUUUGUGUCCAUGUGUGUGUGUUCAGGUAGCCCAGAGGCAGGUGUGGCUCAGCUCGGCGAAUCAGUUGACUCUUCUCCGCGAGAUGAAAACCCAGAUGAUGCCCCGCGGUCAGUUUACAGAGACGACAGGACGCACAGCACCUGAUCCGGAGUGUGACAUCCCAGUGACGACGAGACGACCAGGAAGUCGCCGAUCACACUAGCAGGAUGUGAUGUGAUGUGACGUGCCGUGUUGGCUGUUUCUCAUUCUGCUGCUGCGACAUUGAAACCGAAACACGAGACAGACUCUUUGAAUGAGUUCCCAAGUGCCCAAAUAAAUGUCCUUUUUUUUUAGGAAGGUCGCCUCCGGUUCAUCCACACGUUCCGGUUUCAGACGGAGGAUGUAAAAGUCAAUGAUUAAGAGAGUUAACGGUGAUGAGAUUACACCAGACCGGACACGGAUCCAGGAAGAACCCGUUACAUUUUUGUGCGGAUGCAAAAUAAGAUAAGAAAACCAAAAUCCAAACUGUACCCAGUGGGAAAACAGAACCAAACACAAUGUGCCGGCUGUUAGAAUCCCUGUGGUGGUUCAGACAGAGAAGUGGUGUACAGACGGGAGGAGUGGUGCAGGACGAACAGACGGAUGAAUGAGCGUACAGGAAGCGCUGGACCCACAAUCCCUUGCAGCAGCAACAUUCACCGAGCCACAUCGACUGAUCAAUCGUCGAUUGACGUUGACGAAUUUAUGUGGUUUGCAGCCGUGAAGAUGCGGAGGGAGACGAAGGCCGGAGGAGCCGACAGCCGGGUGAACUUUACACCCGCUCACCCUCAUCGACGACCUCGUCGCCACACGACUGUUUUCUUCUUCUUCGUAUUUAAAGGGACACACAGAUUUAAAAAGCAAAACAAAACAUUAUUAUUUUUUGCUUACUCAUUCAACUACAGGCGAUGAUACACACUGAGGUUUCCUGUCACCUGGCGUGGAAUCAUGAUGGACAGGGACAAGGAGACGCCUCAAAGAAAAACAAUCUGUUUCCUAAAAUGUGUCAGUUUGAAUCUCUGUUAUUUGGCACAAAGCAGAAAAUACUGUUGCUAUCGUUUUUAUUUUUUUUUAUUUCUACAGUAACUAAUACUGGUAGUGAAAAAAAAAUCUAAACUAGACUAAACACUAAAUAUGAUUUAAUCAGAUCCAGGUCUGUGAAUUGUUCCCUGGGAAACUGUCCCAUCUCCAAUUGUUGAAGAAAGAGAUGAAAAAAAUAAUUCCUGGAUCCGGGGCCAAAAUUUCUUGGGACCUUUCUUGGUCCAUGUUCCGUCCUCCCACCAAGUUUUGUCGAAAUCCGACCUGUAGUUUUUGCAUAAUCCAGCUGACAAACAAACAAGUGAAGGUAAUAAAACUUAUAAAUUCAAUAUAUGUCUGAUCCUGUUCACAAUAAAAGGCCUCACGACUGUA